rnacentral:tRNA from 1 species
UCUCGUAGUGUAGCGGUUAACACGCCUGCCUGUCACGCAGGAGAUCGCGGGUUCGAUUCCCGUCGAGACCGCCA